AAAAAUCCAGUUUUGAUGGUUGCUUAGGGGUGAUCUGAGAAGUGUGGCUGGUGCUGGUUCUGUGUCCAGUGCUCUGACUGGAGGUAGCUUUGAAAUUCAGAAGCCAACUUUUCCCAGGCCUAACGUUUUUAUACACACUUGGUUUAUCUUGUCAGUGCUUGUCCACAUGGUACACAAUUUAUGAAGCAUUGAGAUAAAAUCAAGCUUAUAAACAUAUAUUUUAUUUGUAGGUGUGGCCUUUUUUUCCAUGAAUAAAUUCAUACAGGCAGUCUGGCUAAAGAGAGCCAGUUGUACACAACUAAUCAGUGUUAAAGUAACAGCUUUAUUUCAUAACUUUAGAGGAAAACAGCUGAAUUAUCAGCUUUGAGGGGAAAAAAGACACCUACCUUUUCUCUGCAAUAUAACUACUAUUUUUUUCAUUUUUAUUGCUGCAGGUUAGAAAUAAUUGCCCAGGCUUUUAAAUCUCUGCAUUGUCCUAUUUUGAGGAACAGCCAUUUAUUUAACUACAGGAAAUCCUAAAGGGCACAAGAAUCAUCCAGACUUUUUAGUACAGACCUGACUUUAUUAAUACAAGUUGCAACUGACCAGUUACUGGACUGAAGAAAAGGCAAAAAGUAGAAAUAGUUGGGUUUUUGCUGCCUCUGAAUAAAAGGCAUAUACUUAAACAUUUCCCUGAAAAGGCCAAGAGGUCACAUGUUGGCUCUACUCUUUCCAGUCCUCCACCUCCAUCUAAAGAUAAAACCUGGCAGGUACAGGAUACCUCUGGAAACCUAGCUUGAUGAAGGCUCAGCUUUUGGAUAGCCCAUGGUUUUAACUGCUGAUCAGGUUUGGAAAAAUGGCUGUUUGAACUCCUGAAGUUUCUAUUAAAAUAAUGAAAACUAAGUAUCUGUAAAAAUCCAUUUAUGUAUUUAAAGUAUUAAAAAGAAAAUAAAUAACAUAACUUUCAAGUAUUGCAUGUUCUUCAAGAACUACAUCUUCAAAUCUUACAAGGGUAAUCUCUCCUCUCUUGUGGUUCACCACACAGUUGCAUGAACACAAGAAAUGUGUGAGACCAAAUAGGACUCAGAUCACCAUGACAUGGAAUCUGUGUCACUGAAGAGUCUGUGUGUUUGUCCCACUUUGAAUCCCUCUGUUUUAGGUAUGGGUGAAUAGAAUAGUUCAAAGUUUUCCUGGUAAAGUUGUUCCUGCCCUCUCUGGUGAUAUGAACACUUUCCUGUUUUGAGUGGAAACAGUUAUCAUGGGAUUACAGCAAACUUUUUCAUAGCUGCCUCACACCCUGACUUCCAAUCAUUCUGUACUGACCAGCUUUUCAAGCUUCCCUGAGCUUUUUUUUUUCCUGAACUUUUCCAACUGCAGUUCCCAGCUUUUUCCAGAAAUUGUUACCAUUAGUUCAUAAGUGCGUGACCUAAUACACUUCUUUUAUUCUAAUAGUUCACUUCCUAAUGUAUGACAGUUUGAUCCUUUGCUGCACUGGCAAUAUCACAAAUUCUCAUCAAAAAGUUUGAUUAAUACAUUCCUGUGCAGUCCUAUUAUUGUGCCAAGGCCAUUCAUGAAAAUAAUUGAAGAGAUCAGUCCAAAAACUAAUCCUUUCACUACAGCACUACAGGAAUGUGUUUGCUUCCAUCUCCAAUGUGGAAAUCCCUGUUGUGCAUUUGUGACAGAGGCACAUUUUUCUCUUCUCCAGCCCUGACAACAGUGCGCUGCUUCCAUGGCCCCACUGGAGAUACCCAAAUUGACUCAGAUUCCCUCAAGACAGAUCAGAAUGAGGUUGUAUAUGGGCCAGAUAAAUUUUCCCCAUGGAUUACAUUUGUUGGUCAUCUGGUAAAGAAGCAGACUUCCCAGGUGACUCCUUUCAUCUGUGCUCUGGGGACACACUGUUGAAAGCUAAUGCCAAAUGGGCGGUGCUGCUGCUGUCUCUGAAGAAAACUGUUUUCUAUCAGGUUAUGUGCUCUUCUGUCCUGAAAGUUUGUCCCAUUCCAAGAAAACAAAUAGAUCCAAAUAUCUCCAAACUUCUUACCUCUGUGCCCAAGAUGGGGCUUUAACCCACUCCUGGAUCCAGUACACCACACUGAAAAGAGAAACACAGCAAACAUGCAAAUUCAGAAAAUACCUGCACAUGCUUUACCAUCUGCAUUUGUGCUCCAUUCCCCCUCCUGGUUUUGGCACUGCAGCCAAUGCAACUGUAUGUACUGAAAACUAUGGCAAAGUUCUUGUUCUGUUUUAUACUUCCUUUCCUCUUUUCCAUUUAUAUGCCUGAGGUGCCCUUUGCCAUUUCUUUUAAAGCAGUUAAAUUUUCUGGAAGAUGUUGUCUGGGCAAUUGUCACGAUAGCCUUACAAAUCUGCAGUUGUAAGACAGCUUUCCUUGACAGAUUUUUUUCUGAACAUGUAUUAUCCUUUUCCCAUAUUAGGAGGAUCUCAUUAUUUUUGCAAUCCUGUUUUGAGAUAGGAUUAUCUGUGAAAUCCUUCUCCAAACACCAGCCCGACACAAGUUUUCCAGAUAAAUUUGUGUACCUUAAUUCAAAACCAGGCUAAGUUUGCUCCACAUUCAAAUCCUAGAAUUUCUUGGACCAAUUUGUGUCGCUGUUGCCCUAAGUUCUUUGAUUUUUUUUUUCCUUCAUUAUUUAUAGUUUUUGCUGUUUUUUCAGUCUCCUUAGUUUAAGGUGGAUUUUGUCAUAAGCAUUCUAGCUAAGGUUAUUUUUUUGAACAGUUUGUCAUUUCCUCAAGUACCUUCCAAACCCAGUUCAAAAAACACAUCUCCUUUUCCCUCCUCCACAAGAGUUGCAGUGAAAAAAACCUGUCAGGAAGCCAUGACAGGAACUUCUGGUCUCUAACAUUAUUGGUACAAUUUGUUCUCCAACAUAUUUCUUCAGAGUUACAGUGAUGUACAAUGCUCAGAAAUGUUUCUGUCUAGACUGGUAUUCCACAGAUCUUUUUUCAUACCAAAAUGCAUCUGUAGCCCAAUUUUAUUUUCCUUUUGAAAUGAGAGUAACCAAAUAAUCAGAGUUUUUUCUUUGUUUAUCCAUGUUCUCUCUUUGUGAUAAUAUACAGGAUUGCCAAUGGUUUUUAUCAUUAGAUGCGGUUUUGGGGAACGGCAAAAACUGUUUUGUCACAUCCCCCACUCCAGCCAUGGUCAGAAUGGAGUUUGGUUAUUCCUUCAGGGAAGUCCUGCAGCAGAUGUUCCAGUUUAUUCAUUUUAAGAUACAUCCUGCCCUUUCUGUACAAAGUUUCAUUUCUCCUUCCCAUUGAACAAAUCUGUCACUAUCACCUGCCUGGCUACUUUUCUCAUCCUUGUGCUCUGUCCAUCUGUUCUCCCUUGUUCUUUCAGCUGUGUCAUACCCUUUAUUCUAUGAGUUGGGGACUAGGACCAGCUUUGGAGGCCACACAGGUCUCCUCCAGCCCUUGCCUCUUGACUUAUAAAAAAAAAAAUGUAAAUUCAUAGAGGUUUUCUUUUCCAUUGUCACAGAUAGUCAAUUCCUCUUUACUGUUCUCCUUUCCUCUACAGUGUCUUAAGAAAUACAACUUGAAAAGAAGCUUUUUUGGGUCUCAUAAUCCCAAGAAUAUUCCAUCCAGACCUGAGUUAGUAUUUGCAGAGGUCAAAAAAGGAAGUAGCAGUGUACUUGAAUGAGUAUAGCUUAUUAUUAAAAAAAAAAAAACCAAAAAAAAAAACCAAACAAACAACCUUCUUUUUAUAGUUACAUUGAAUUAAAAUAUAAUCUUCCUGUUUGCUUGUAAAUGUUUUUUGAUAAUUUUACAAAGCCAUGGUGGCUGCUAAUUCUGUAUAAAGGAUUGAGCAGCUUGUCUGCUUUUUUGGGGGAAAUCCUUCACUUAACUAGAAUGAUCUUCAUUAAUUUAAGGAAUGGACAGGCAAACUGGCUGCCACAUGUGCACCACAGUUGCUGUAAGUUCAUUCCUGAAUUUACCUUAUAAUAGAAGCUUAUCCCUCUUGACUCUUAGUGCCAUAUUGGGCAUUUCAAUGCACAUCCUGGAAGGCCAUUCAAAUAGUCUUGAACUCUUGGAGUUAUAGGAACACAGCUAGCUCAAUAUUCAUAGUAAUUUUUAAAUGGAAUUAUAUAGAAAAUGGGGUAUCUGCCACUGGUGUCUCAUUGGUACGUGUCCUUAGUACUUUAAUGCAUGGUUUUAACAGAUUUUAUUAGUAGUAAAAUAGUAAAAGCUCAUUUGGAGACUUGAGAAGGUUUGAGUGUCAAACUCCUUUGCCCUGAUAUUCUUUGGAGACAAACGAUCUCUGAUUCUUACUGGAAACUGCAGGUCUCCUGGCAACUCUUGUGGAUGGAACCUGUUAGAAAACUCAUCUGUUACAAAAGGAAGUUACAGUGGCCUCUGAGAGGUUUUGGAGACCACAUUCAUCUACCCAAGCAUCAGAACCAGCUUUGCCUGAUUAUGUGGAGUCAUACCAGGAACUAAAUUUUCUAGACUUUAAUUCUAGUAUGUAUAUCUAUCUAUAUAUACCAUUUUAAAAUUAUAUUAAAAAAAAAAAAUAAAAGCAAGCCUUAGUUCUGAUGACAGAAAGGUCUUAAAUUCUAAAAGCAGAGUAUAUAGAAGUGAGAUUAGUCCAUCCUAAGCCAGGUACCUGCUUCUACUCUGUUUAGUCAGGCAAGUAUUAAAUUCAUAGGAAACAGAAAAAAAGCUCCUAUAAAGAUUAGAAUGUGUGAGGGCAAUUCACCCAGCAGACAGUGGAUUCCGCCAGAACAAACUAAAAUUCAAUGUUGAAUUUGCCACUGAAAAAGAAAAGCCCCAGAGAAGAAAGAGGGAAAUCUGUCUUCAGUCUGUGUAUAUAUUGUAAGCAAUGAGUUGAUCUGGGGCUUUGAAGUGGAUUCUGUCAAAAAAUAUUGAGAAAAGGAGACAAUGAGACCAAAAA